rnacentral:lncRNA from 1 species
UCUACUUGCUUUAGGUAGCAUUGCUUUCUGGAAUACAUCAUUGGAACCUGGUAACAUUCACUGCUUACAGUCAGCAAGACCAGAAGAACAUGAUUGUGUAUGAGUUCAUGCACAACGAAAGCAUCACCUUAGCUGAUGUUAAAUUUGCUUUGUGGAAUCAACAACACGCUAUUGUAUAUACACAUAUGGUUCUUUCGCAGCAAAAUUUUGUCCGUGCGGUUGUAUUUCAGAUCUUUAGAACUGCAGGGUAAUUUCUAUAUUUGCUGAUUUAGGUUGUCUUAGGCUGCAGCUUCCUGUCCAGGCUACCGUGUAGCCCAUAUCCUCUGAAGAGGAUACAUCUAAAUGAAAACUUGGAAUUACCUAGGUGCAUACAUAAUCUAUUGAUGAUGUGAAUAGAAACACCCACAGUAGCACUAACCUUUGGCAACCUUCAUGUCGUGCCUCCAAGGUAGGCCAUGAGUGAUGGCUGCCGUGAUGUUGGCCUUGCAAAAAAAUAGGGCUUUGCUAAUUGGUUACUGGCUAUAGGUUGUGUUUGUUGUUUACAUGUCAGUUUUUAACCAUUUGACCUAUCUUUUAUAGACAGUAUAGUUCACAAAAAAGAAACUUUUGAUAGAAAAUAUAUGGGUUUAUAGUAGACCAUUAUUAUAUAUAUGAGAGUGCACAUCUUACUUAUUGGCAUUGCUAUGCUUCACAGUAUACAAUAUUUUGCAUGCCAGUAUAAUUCAUAAGUGGUUUUUCUUAUUCAGGUGUUAUUAAUAUGGUGAGUGAUUGAAGAGGAGGCAUGAGGAGAAGAGCAGUCCAAAGGGCGGGUGGAGCAUGUGACUUGUUGAUGUUAGUUUUCAUUUCCGGGAAGAAUAAAUUUUCUAUGAUUUUAGUGUAUGCUGAUGUGUGAAAGUCAAUCAUUUGGAUUCCCAAUUAGACUAUUGUGUGUGUUCAAUAUUUUAUUGUGCAUUGAUAAAAUGUUUCAGUGCCAGUGUGCACAAGUUGAAUUUUGAAACAGAUGAGAGGACAACUCUGCAUAAAGCUUUGUUCGGUUACACCUCUUCCCACAGGGAUUGGAG